GCGGAUCCGAAAAAUUUUCGCGAUGAAUUCGAAAACAAUGCAUGUUUUCAAAAUCAUGAAAAAUGUUUUCGAUUUUGAAAUAAAUGUUUUCAAUACCGAAGCAAACUGUUUGCGGAACCGCAACCACCAUGUUUGCGGCGCAAUUUUGUUUGGUUCGCCGCAGCCACAAUGCGUUACGCUGUCAGAGUGUCAGAAUCAGCUGCCUGAGGUGCGCUCGCAAAAAAUAAACAAACGACAAAAAUCGUUUUUGCAGCAUUUGAAUGUUGCGUAUUUCUGCGGUGGCGACACAAAAAGUAACAAAACAUCCGGCGGGCAGCGGGACGGACAAUCAGUUGUCGAUCGAUCGACUUCCGCGCUGCAAACCUGCGGCUGUUCGAGAGGAGAAUGGUGAAAUGGCCCUGAUCCCGAUUGAGCAGAUCGGGAAACCCCCUUCAGUUCCACCAACGGCCGCAAAUCCCAGCGUAGUGAUCAACACGCCCAGUUCAACGCCCCCUGCCGUCGGAUUCCCGCUGCAGAACCUCAUCACCCAGGGCAAGCGGGACUACACCGGCCGAAUCCUCAGCACCCAGUGCAAGGAGAACAGCGAAGUACUGCUGAACGAGUGCGGAAUCUGCGCUGCUCCGACCAUAAAGUCCAAACUGGCAGUGCUCCGAGUGCGACAUAUCGGACAACUCCGGCCCCGAGCUCGUGAUCCUGCCGAAAGCCCCGCGCAAGUCCCGAACCCGGAACAGCAAGGACGUCAUCAUCGUCCUGUACGACAUGCCCUCGCCCGAGUUUGAAAAGUCCCCGAAGAGUACCCCGUUGUGUGUUGCGCCAACCUCCCUACCCAAACGACCCCGUAAGAGUGGAACCGUAGAUAGUCCCAGCAAGAUAGCGGUGGCAAACGGUAUCAAGACGAAAUAUUUGCUGCUGGAGAUCCCGAAAAUCGACCUGGAACAGGUGGAAAAGCUUAGCGCAGGGUAAACUUCGGUGGAGAAGUUGACUCCGAUGGCGGCCGCACCAACGGUCAAGCUAAGUCGCAAGAAGAAGAUCACCGAACCGGCUUCCCCAGACAAAGAGUUUCCAAAAGAAUAAGGACAUCAAACCCAAGGUUGAAGUCACCGAGAUCCCGGACUCUCCGGUGAAGAAGCACGAGCAGCCAAAUGAAAAACCCGCUCCGGCGAUCGUAAACCCCCUGCCAAACCCGAAGAGGUCAAACUGGAAAAAAGAAGAAGGAGAAGCUGAAGGCUCCAACGGAGCCUGAAUCUGAGUUCCCAAGAAACGCUCACUUCGGCGGAUCGGCAACCACGCUGACAACGACCUUCAGUGAAUCGCUGCCACAGUCGGCACACCCGGAACCGGAGGCAUCUCCUCUUCGUCAUCGUCACACAAGAACAGCAAGCGGAAGAAGUAGAAGCACCACAACCGAUCCCCGCACAAGGACGGAUCGCCCGCGAGGGAGCAGGAGGAACCACGACAUGGAGAAUAUAAACGACGUUCCUGGAGGAAUUGACGCGUCCGGCGGAGAGGACAAGUCUUGUCUUCAUCAAAUCGUUCCAAGAUUGAAGCGUGGGUUCGACAAACACAUCGACAGACCCAACUGCUAGCGGAGAUUCUGUCAUGCCAGCACGGCGUCCAAACUGGGGCUCGUUCCAGGCGGACGGUCUCCUAGCGGAGGCCGCUCCACUCAAGUCGAUCCUCCAGGUGAAAAUCGGAAAUGGAAUCACGAUCGUGGGGCAAUGCUUGGGCACCUUCGUUGCUCUUGUGUGGAGCCACUCGGGAUCCGGCAUGAACCUGAGUCUGCACCAGGACCUUUCCCGAAGGCGCGUAGAGGAAAAGAGCCAAAAUCUCCAGGACGAGGAGAACUUCCGGCGUGCCAGCUCGGAACUGAGUCUAAAAUAGGACGCAGAAAUCAACUAGAUUGCCGGCCCAAGCACGCUGGAAUGAUAUCAGCAUCACCUCUAUCCGAGUGGCCCCGCCGCCGACGUCACUCGCCCACUCUGUUGCACAAAACGCCAAACGCUGACAUCAACCGUGCAUCAACGAGUGCACUGCGGAAACGCCUCCUCCUCCUACUAAAGCAACUUGUCAACGGCGACGACGGCUCCCAGCAGUACCCAGCUGCACCAUGGACAUCGAGGCCAGAUCGGACAAAUCGCUUCGUUCGAAUCGUCACCACUUUUGAUUCUGUUUUGAUAUGAACAAAUAAAUAAAAUUUAAAUGAACUCUUCUUCUUCUUAUUUCUAUCGAAAUUUCGAGCAGCAACGGUCAAUUCAAAAAGGUAAAUAUUGAAGUGGCUGCGUUCUGCGUGGUUUUGGCGGGGUAUGCGUUACUGCGUUACGUUUGCGAUAUCGGAAAUAAUCGUUUGCGAUAUUGGAAGCAAUGUUUCCUGCUGACGGGUGGAAACCGAGAUUUGCGAUUUUUAGAGCAAAUCGAAAGCAAAGUUUCCGAUUCCGCAAACCGGAUUUUGUU